GCAGACAGCCCUCCUUCCCCUAUCCAGCAAAACGCAACUCGUCUAAUGCAGCAACAGGUUCAGUGCUGCCAGACUAACAAAGUGACAAAGCUACCUGAUAAUGCAGAUCUUGGGAGCACUGGUGAUGACUGAAGUAGUUGGGACCCUGCCACUCAUGUGGGAAACCAGAACUGAAUUCCUACCUCACAGCUUUGGCUCCAGCUCCGGCCCUUUGCAGGCAUUUGGGGAGUGAACCAGCAAAUGGAGGUGAUCUCUCGCAAACUUGUAAAAGUGCGUGAAAGACCUUAACAUGAACAUCACCAAAUACACAGAGAUGACACUGAGCAUACAGAAGAUGAUGUAUAUCAUAUGUCAUCAUGCAAAUAUAAAUUAAAAUCAUGAGAUACCACUA